GCCAGGCGCAGUGGCACAUGCCUGUAGUCCCAGCUACUCGGGAGGCCGAGGUGGGAGGAUCACUUGAGCCCAGGAGUUCUGGGUUGUAGUGUGCUAUGCCGAUCGGGUGUCCACACUUAGUGAACCAGCCCAGGUCGGAAACAGAGCAGGUCAAAACUCCCAUGCUGAUCAGUAGUGGGAUCGCGCCUGUGAAUAGCCUAUGCACUCCAGCCUGUGUAACAUAGCAAGACUCUGUCUCUU
rnacentral:SRP_RNA from 1 species